AUUGCUUACUGGACUGUCUAGCUCAUUACCUCCUAUUUUACUGUUUUUACAGAUGUUGAGGAAUUAAGAUGAUACAAGAUAUGAAUGGAAGAGUACUCAGAAGCAGAAUUUCUAUACUUUUAUUUUCGGUUGAAAGUCUUAUUGAAUUUGAUGUAAGGUCUAUGAAUCAUUGUUGAAUUUAUUGAGAUAUUAAAGAAAAAAAAUUU
rnacentral:lncRNA from 1 species